CCCUUAUGCUUUGACCACUAAGCCAGGAGGUUGAACCCCAAAUACAUAUAGUACACAAAAAGGUAACAAAAUCCACACCUUGUACCAUGACAAUGUGUGAGCAGGAAGUAGCUUCUACGUACAAGGAGUGAUUCAGUAGCACACUUCAUGCAUUUAACUGUUUCUAUCAUUAGAUGACAUAUUACAAAAGGUGGCAGAUAUGAAUGCCAAAUAGCAUAGAACAUAGAUUUAAAGACAGAAUAGAGUGAAACACUGACACUGUCAUAAUUUUCUUUGUCUAUAAGAUCCAAGCUACAAUAAAUAAGCAAGAAUUAUCACAAAACAGAUACGAAGAAGCCGAGCGAGCUCUCUACUUAUCAAAGGUCUCAAAGUAUUGAUAAAUUAUGGUGACAACCAAAAGGAUCCCAGUUCUUGAGGCAAUUGCAUCCAUGAGAUGGGCCAACAAAACAAAUUGAUCAUUCUCCCAUGAGAUCUCUGAUGAUUCAUCAUUGAACUAUAAAAAAAAAUUAUGUAAUCCAUAUUACAAUAUUGGUUCAAAAACUUAAGAUCCAUGAUGAAAAGCUAAAAAAAAAAAAGCGUUUGCAUUAGCAAUUAUAACCUAUGCUAUAGAACAAGGUCAUCUACAGAAGUAAAAUAAUUAAUCCAACCAUCAAGUGGAGCCACAGCCCUCAAGUGGAGCCAUGGAAAUAGAAAUACAGCAAAGGAAAUAACCCUUCAAGGAUCAAGGUUUACAGAGCAAUGCAUCUACACUAGCAAAUGAUUCAAUAUUGAACUAUACAA
rnacentral:lncRNA from 1 species